GUGAGGAAUAUUGCGCAAUGGAGGCAACUCUGACGCAGCCAUGCCGCGUGCAGGAAGAAGGCGCUACGCGUUGUAAACUGCUUUUAACCGGGAAGAAACCCCAGGACGUGUCCUGGGUUGACGGUACCGGAGGAAUAAGCACCGGCUAACUUCGUGCCAGCAGCCGCGGUAAUACGAAGGGUGCAAGCGUUAUCCGGAUUCAUUGGGUUUAAAGGGUGCGUAGGCGGAGCGUUAAGUCAGUGGUGAAAUCCUGCAGCUUAACUGUAGACUUGGCAUUGAUACUGGCGCUCUUGAGUGCGCUUGAAGUGGGCGGAAUGUGCCGUGUAGCGGUGAAAUGCUUAGAUAUGGCACAGAACACCAAUUGCGAAGGCAGCUCACUAAGGCGAUACUGACGCUGAGGCACGAAAGCGUGGGGAUCGAACAGGAUUAGAUACCCUAGUAGUCC
rnacentral:rRNA from 1 species